GAUCAAAGUGUAGUAUCUGUUCUUAUCAGCUUAAUAUCUGAUACGUGGCANACUGCNNCACUAUGAUAUUAAACUGAUUUUUGGACAUAGGCGUUGUGUUCGGAGGCUUGCUCCAACCUUUGCCACGGGUUGGCC
rnacentral:snRNA from 1 species